AAGACCUUGCGCUUUUGGAGCGGCCGAUGUCUGAUUAGCUUGUUGGUGAGGUAAAGGCUUACCAAGGCUUCGAUCAGUAGCUGGUCUGAGAGGACGGCCAGCCACACUGGGACUGAGACACGGCCCAGACUCCUACGGGAGGCAGCAGUGGGGAAUUUUGGACAAUGGGGGCAACCCUGAUCCAGCCAUGCCGCGUGAGUGAAGAAGGCCUUCGGGUUGUAAAGCUCUUUCAGCCGGAACGAAACGGUUACGGUUAAUACCCGUGACUACUGACGGUACCGGAAGAAGAAGCACCGGCUAACUACGUGCCAGCAGCCGCGGUAAUACGUAGGGUGCGAGCGUUAAUCGGAAUUACUGGGCGUAAAGCGUGCGCAGGUGGUUUUGUAAGUCAGAUGUGAAAGCCCCGGGCUCAACCUGGGAACU
rnacentral:rRNA from 1 species